rnacentral:rRNA from 1 species
GUGGGGAAUAUUGCACAAUGGGCGCAAGCCUGAUGCAGCGACGCCGCGUGAGGGAUGACGGCCUUCGGGUUGUAAACCUCUUUCAGCAGGGACGAAGCGUGAGUGACGGUACCUGCAGAAGAAGCACCGGCCAACUACGUGCCAGCAGCCGCGGUAAUACGUAGGGUGCAAGCGUUGUCCGGAAUUACUGGGCGUAAAGAGCUCGUAGGCGGUUUGUCGCGUCGUCUGUGAAAACCAGCAGCUCAACUGUUGGCUUGCAGGCGAUACGGGCAGACUUGAGUAUUUCAGGGGAGACUGGAAUUCCUGGUGUAGCGGUGAAAUGCGCAGAUAUCAGGAGGAACACCGGUGGCGAAGGCGGGUCUCUGGGAAAUAACUGACGCUGAGGAGCGAAAGCGUGGGUAGCGAACAGGAUUAGAAACCCGAGUAGUCC